rnacentral:rRNA from 1 species
CUACGGGUGGCUGCAGUGAGGAAUAUUGCACAAUGGGGGGAACCCUGAUGCAGCAACGCCGCGUGGAGGAUGACGCAUUUCGGUGUGUAAACUCCUUUUAUAUGUCAAGAAAAUGACGGUAGCAUAUGAAUAAGCACCGGCUAACUCCGUGCCAGCAGCCGCGGUAAUACGGAGGGUGCAAGCGUUACUCGGAAUCACUGGGCGUAAAGGACGCGUAGGCGGGUUGGAAAGUCAGGUGUGAAAUCCUACAGCUUAACUGUAGAACUGCACUUGAAACUUCUAAUCUAGAGUAUGGGAGGGGGAGAUGGAAUUAGUGGUGUAGGGGUAAAAUCCGUAGAUACCACUAGGAAUACCUAAAGGGAAGUCGACCUCCUGGACCGUUACGGACGCUAGAGCGUGAAAGCGUGGGUAGAAACCAGGAUUAGAUACCCUAGUAGUC